rnacentral:rRNA from 1 species
UGCAAGUCGAGUGCGCGUUUCUGUAGCGAUACAGGAAUGGCGCACGGCGCACGGGUGCGUAACACGUGGGUAAUCUGCCCUCUGAUGGGGAAUAACCCGCCGAAAGGCGGGCUAAUUCCGCAUAACAUUCCUUGGACUCCGGUUCGAGGACUCAAAGGCGUAAGUCGUCGGAGGUGGAGCCCGCGCCCGAUUAGCUAGUUGGUGAGGUAACGGCUCACCAAGGCAAUGAUCGGUAGCUGGUCUGAGAGGAUGGCCAGCCACACUGGAACUGAGACACGGUCCAGACUCCUACGGGAGGCAGCAGUGGGGAAUCUUGCACAAUGGGCGAAAGCCUGAUGCAGCGACGCCGCGUGGGGGAUGAAGCUUCUCGGAGUGUAAACCCCUUUCGACCCGGACGAAUGCCCCGCAAGGGGAGUGACGGUACGGGUAUAAGAAGCCCCGGCUAACUACGUGCCAGCAGCCGCGGUAAGACGUAGGGGGCCAGCGUUGUUCGGAAUUACUGGGUGUAAAGGGUUCGUAGGCGGUGUAGCAAGUUGGGAGUGAAAUCUCUGGGCUCAACUCAGAGGCUGCUUCCAAAACUGCUGUGCUGGAGUGUGGGAGAGGCGCGUGGAAUUGCAGGUGUAGCGGUGAAAUGCGUAGAUAUCUGCAGGAACACCCGUGGCGAAAGCGGCGCGCUGGACCACUACUGACGCUGAGAACGAAAGCUAGGGGAGCAAACAGGAUUAGAUACCCUGGUAGUCCUAGCCCUAAACGAUCAGGACUUGGGGGUGCCACCCGUUCGGGUGUCGUCCCGGAGCUAACGCGUUAAGUCCUGCACCUGGGGAGUACGGUCGCAAGACUGAAACUCAAAGGA